UACGGAGGGUGCGAGCGUUGUCCGGAAUCACUGGGCGUAAAGGGCGCGUAGGCGGCCUGAUAAGUAGGGGGUGAAAUCCUGCGGCUUAACCGCAGGGCUGCCUUCUAAACUGUCAGGCUAGAGCACAGUAGAGGCAGGUGGAAUUCCCGGUGUAGCAGUGAAAUGCGUAGAGAUCGGGAGGAACAUCUGUGGCGAAGGCGACUGCCUGGACCAGCACUGACACUGAGGCACGAAAGCGUGGGGAGCGAACAGG
rnacentral:rRNA from 1 species